rnacentral:piRNA from 1 species
UGCAACAGAGUUUCAGGUAGCGGGG